UUGGAGGGCAAGUCUGGUGCCAGCAGCCGCGGUAAUUCCAGCUCCAAUAGCGUAUAUUAAAGUUGUUGCAGUUAAAAAGCUCGUAGUCGAACUUCGGGAUUUACCCAUUGGUCAGGCUUAAUUGUCUGUACUGGUGAGAUAAAUCUCUACCUUCUGAGGAACUUUCAUGCCAUUUAUUUGGUAUGAUUGGAAAUCAGGACUAUUACUUUGAAAAAAUUAGAGUGUUUAAAGCAGGCUAACGUCUGAAUAUAUUAGCAUGGAAUAAUGAAAUAGGACGGCUUGGUUCUAUUUCGUUGGUUUCUAGGAUCACCGUAAUGAUUAAUAGGGAUAGUUGGGCGCAUUAGUAUUCAAUUGUCAGAGGUGAAAUUCUUGGAUUUAUUGAAGACUAACUACUGCGAAAGCAUUUGCCAAGGAUGUUUUCAUUAAUCAAGAACGAAAGUUAGGGGAUCGAAGACGAUCAGAUACCGUCGUAGUCUUAACCAUAAACUAUGCCGACUAGGGAUCGGACGAAGUUAAUUUUAUAAUGACGCGUUCGGCGCCUUACGGGAAACCAAAGUGUUUGGGUU
rnacentral:rRNA from 1 species